GGGAUAGGAUGUACAGCCGAAUCUCCAAACUUCACUGAUGAACCAGCAAGGAUCUUCUAAGUCUAUAGAAGUUGUAGAGAAAGCAAGCGGGCCAAGGAGAGACUGAGGCCCAGAUGGAGGGUUUGGAGGAGGGAGAAUAUCCCAGGGCAGAGACCUUAGAACUGCGGAGAGAGCUAAAUGGCUGAAAUUUCAGGAAAAUCCCAAACUUAGGCUCUCAGAAAUGUCUAUUAAAUAUAAGUUAAUAUCUAAAAUUCUUUAUCAAACAGAAACUCUUCUACAAAUAUAACACUGGAGCCCUACCAAGAAUUUCUGGGACUGGAAAUUGCAGUUUUCUAUUUCUGAUGUCUUCAGCCCUUUGGCUUUGUUGGACAAAAGCGUAUUUGUGCUGUCCCUGGGAGGCCCUGGCUUUGGGGUGGAGGCAAGGCUGAUGAGUGGGAGGGCUCUGUUCUGGGGUGCUGUCUUUUCAUAAUGAGCAGACCUCUCAUAUUCAGUGUGAUUUAGUGACUCAAAGUGGACCUGCCCUCAAAAAACUUCUCCACUUAACUUUCUAGUGACUAAAUGACGUAACUUUGUUAAGCCAAGCAUCAUCUUUAGUAUUUGUUAAAAUAAAACUAUUUCUGACUGUAGCCAGUUGGUUACUUACAUCUUGGUUUAAAUGAGUUUAUUUGACUCUUUCUUCACACAGGAGGUUUGGUGGAGCGGGUGGUGGUUGGGUAGUAGAGUCAGUAGGUGAAUGGGUGCCCUCUGACCCAGAUACUCUGAGUGUAGAGUACCACUCUGCAAGUCUGUUUCCUUGUCUGUAAUUUGGCACUGACAUGUCAUUGGGCUGAUGACCUUGGCGAAUGGCUUCAAGGCCACAAUUCCCAGGGGAAGCUGUCUCCUCAAAAGGAUGCUGAAGAUGAAGACAUACUCUUCGUGGAGGAGUCUGUUGCCUUCCCUCUUCCUCUGGGAGAUACUACAUAGCUUCUAGCCUCCUUUGCAGGAUCUUCCAGGAGGGAAAGCAGGAGAGUUGUGAACCAGGGACCUGGAGAAAAAUCCAGACCAUCCUCCACAGGCUUGGUAAUCCCCUGUUGCAAGAUGUACCUGGAUUUCAACCUGGAAGGUCAAGCUGAUCACUGUGCAGUGAUCAGGGCUCCAGCAUCCUACAAUAUUUCUGUGAAUAUUCUGAAAAUGGAGAUUUCCCCACCCCAUGUGAAAUGGGGAUAUGGUUUGGCUAUUAAACUGACUUUUUUUCAUUGAC